rnacentral:tRNA from 1 species
CCGCCCAUAGCUCAGCUGGUAGAGCAGACGCCUCUUAAGCGUAAGGUCGUUGGUUCGACUCCAACUGGGCGGACAA